CGAAGGUUGGCUAAUCCUGGUCGGACAUCAGGAGGUUAGUGCAAUGGCAUAAGCCAGCUUGACUGCGAGCGUGACGGCGCGAGCAGGUGCGAAAGCAGGUCAUAGUGAUCCGGUGGUUCUGAAUGGAAGGGCCAUCGCUCAACGGAUAAAAGGUACUCCGGGGAUAACAGGCUGAUACCGCCCAAGAGUUCAUAUCGACGGCGGUGUUUGGCACCUCGAUGUCGGCUCAUCACAUCCUGGGGCUGAAGUAGGUCCCAAGGGUAUGGCUGUUCGCCAUUUAAAGUGGUACGCGAGCUGGGUUUAGAACGUCGUGAGACAGUUCGGUCCCUAUCUGCCGUGGGCGCUGGAGAACUGAGGGGGGCUGCUCCUAGUACGAGAGGACCGGAGUGGACGCAUCACUGGUGUUCGGGUUGUCAUGCCAAUGGCACUGCCCGGUAGCUAAAUGCGGAAGAGAUAAGUGCUGAAAGCAUCUAAGCACGAAACUUGCCCCGAGAUGAGUUCUCCCUGAGACUUAAAGUCUCCUGAAGGAACGUUGAAGACGACGACGUUGAUAGGCCGGGUGUGUAAGCGCAGCGAUGCGUUGAGCUAACCGGUACUAAUGAACCGUGAGGCUUAACCUUACAACGCCGAAG
rnacentral:rRNA from 1 species